GAUGAACGCUGGCGGCGUGCUUAACACAUGCAAGUCGAACGAUGAAGCCCAGCUUGCUGGGUGGAUUAGUGGCGAACGGGUGAGUAACACGUGAGUAACCUGCCCUUAACUCUGGGAUAAGCCUGGGAAACUGGGUCUAAUACCGGAUAGGAGCGUCCACCGCAUGGUGGGUGUUGGAAAGAUUUUUCGGUUUUGGAUGGACUCGCGGCCUAUCAGCUUGUUGGUGAGGUAAUGGCUCACCAAGGCGACGACGGGUAGCCGGCCUGAGAGGGUGACCGGCCACGCUGGGACUGAGACACGGCCCAGACUCCUACGGGAGGCAGCAGUGGGGAAUAGUGCACAAUGGGCGCAAGCCUGAUGCAGCGACGCCGCGUGAGGGAUGACGGCCUUCGGGUUGUAAACCUCUUUCAGUAGGGAAGAAGCGAAAGUGACGGUACCUGCAGAAGAAGCACCGGCUAACUACGUG
rnacentral:rRNA from 1 species